rnacentral:rRNA from 1 species
AACGAACGCUGGCGGCGUGCUUAACACAUGCAAGUCGAACGCACCGCAAGGUGAGUGGCGCACGGGUGAGUAACGCGUGGGAAUCUACCUUUUGAUUCGGAAUAACAUCGGGAAACUGGUGCUAAUACCGGAUAAGCCCUUCGGGGGAAAGAUUUAUCGUCAAAAGAUGAGCCCGCGUUGGAUUAGCUAGUUGGUGAGGUAACGGCUCACUAAGGCGACGAUCCAUAGCUGGUCUGAGAGGAUGAUCAGCCCCACUGGGACUGAGACACGGCCCAGACUCCUACGGGAGGCAGCAGUGGGGAAUAUUGGACGGUGGGGGCAACCCUGAUCCAGCAACGCCGCGUGAGUGAUGAAGGUCUUCGGAUUGUAAAGCUCUUUUGGCAGGGACGAUGAUGACGGUACCUGCAGAAUAAGCUCCGGCUAACUUCGUGCCAGCCGCCGCCGUAA